UUCAUUUCUUACAAUGAAAACCUGGGCCAAUUACUGUCACCCUCAACAUGGUGAUUCAUCUGAUGAAAGCAAUCGUCACUCCCAGGAGAAGAGUAGAAGAAACACAAGAAGAGCUGCAGCAGUCAGAGCUCACCUUUGGAAACCAGGUAGCCUGCGCUCAGCCCGGUAGUUCCUGAGUCCUUCAGCACCUAACGCAGAUGAUCAUAAUGGGCCACUGAAUCUCUCCACGUGCGUUUUCAUUAAUGUGCUGGCUCUUUCAGAUUGCUCUUUGUGAGAAGGCGGCUCAGGACAACUAGAAUGGAAGUCAUCCGAAGACCGAGGCUUCCAGAGGAAUCCAGGAGGCACAAACCAAGGUCAGGAGGACCUGCCAGGGAGAUCCCUCCAUGGAGAGGUAAGGAGCACGUUGUGAAAUGCAGUAGCUUAACUUCUGUGGCAACAUCCACACAAUCGGCUUCUGGUUCAGUGGAUGUCAUUGUUCGGUCUCCUACAAACAAUCCCAGAACCUGGUGCAGCUUCCAUGAGGAGCAACAGCCCUGUCCCUACUUUGGACACACAGAAGUUCAAGGUCAACGUGGCUGCAAGAGCAUUUCCUCCUUUCCCAGAAGUGCCCUCCAUGCCAUACCCCAUGGGCUACCCUUUAUCACCAUUCAUGGGCUCUAGGCCACCCCCCGCCCCCCACCCUGGUGGCCUCUGGGACCUCACCGUCCACCUUCACCUGCACCAUCUGGAAAGAUGAUCUAAACAGUAUGAGUAGACUCAUGAAACACGUUGCAUCUUUUUUCUUGUUGAGUCUUUGGAGAAAAUGCAGUGCUGGCACCACAGGCCUUUCAGGUCAG